rnacentral:lncRNA from 1 species
GGAGCGAACCGAAAGCUCAGCUUUGCGGACUCUUCCUUUAUUUAGUAUAGGCAAGUCAGUACCCUCAAGUAAACUCCCUCUCCCCAUACCGAUCGAGUACUAAAGCUCUAUCCUAUUUCUGUUCGAUCAAAGCGAAAUAGUGGCUUGGCUGUCCGACGCUUGAUUCUCCGGGUUCGGUUUAUCCACGCUUUGUUUUUAGAUAUUGGUGCUCAAUGCUUGUGACCGCCACUCUUCAUAAAUAGCUUUAGCUCGGGUUGACUAUGUACCCAUAGGCUUGUUUAUUAGGCUCAUACAGACAAACUGGACAUCUCGCCGACCUACAACCAUACCAAGAAGAUCCCUUGAUUCUGCUUCCGUCUAUCAUCCUUUUGUAAGGAAGUAAAAAAUCAGGUUGGUUAAGCAAUUGGUAGCCCCCGGAUGAACGGUAGAAUCCAUCCAUAGAUUCACUGAAAUAUACUCAUCAGGGCUAAAAAAAAGAAAGACUAGCAGAAAGAAUAUUGAACCCCCUCGUAGAGGAUUCAAAAAAGAAAAAGAAGAGACCUCGAGUCAGCGCAUAAAGAAUGGAAUGGUACAU